rnacentral:tRNA from 1 species
GCCUGGGUGGCUCAGUUGGUUAAGCUUCCAACUUCAGCUUAGGUCAUGAUCUCACAUUUCGUGAGUUCAAGCCCCACUUCAGGCU